rnacentral:other from 1 species
GCGCCCCUGCGCUGAGCGAGCGGCAUACAAGUUGCCUGAGCCGAUACUUGUCGAAAGGGAGCCUAACUACGAAAGUGGUGUGCGUUCUCCGCGUCGGGAAUGCCUGAAGCUUUCGUGCGGCGCCCACCUCUUGAGAAGAGGGUUCGACAACUGCACGCCAAUCCGCCAGUGCGGGGGCGCC